rnacentral:lncRNA from 1 species
CGACCACCCCCCAACCUUCUCCCGCUCCACUUCGGUUGUGUAAUUUAAUAUGUGGACAUAAGUAAAGAAAACCCUGUGUGGGGGGAGCCAGUAGUGCUGUGAUCCCAGCAGAGAAGUGCAUGCCUAGCUCCGCUCAGGCCUCCUCCGUCCUCCGGCCCUGGCCCUAUCACGUCCGCUGAUCUGCUUGAUAAAGAAAAUAAUUCUCUGCUUACCUCGCUGAAUCCGGUGGCUUCCGGGUUUGAGGCCCCCUUUGUAUAGGAGGUGUCUACUCUCAGGAAAUCUUAAGGAGGCACGGUCCAGCUCAAGCGAGCAGUAGAAUCCGCAUCCCUUGCCUCCCCUUCCAGGCUUCUUCCUACGCCGCUUUGAGUAACCAUCGUGGAUCACUUAUGUUUGGCAGAGCCUGAGUGCCCUAGUUACCCUGGAAGGUUUGUUAACUAGUUGCGAUUUAAAGAAGCAUUCCCCCACACGAUUAAAACAAUAGGCCUUUGAAGUUUUUUCAGCUGAGAGGUAUCAACGAGUUCGAACCAUAACAUUUGAUUAAUCAACACAGAAAAUCAGUUCUAUUUAGGCCUGACAUCGAUGUUACAUCCUGACCCCAGCAGACGUGCCACAUUGUCAGUGACCCUAGAGUCUCAGGGUUUCUCAAAAUGUCAUCCCAAAGCCACCUAUAUGACGAUAAUCUGGAUGCCUGUUGAAUAUUGCAACAACCUCUACCUCGCCUCACACCUACUGAAUAAACAUUUCCAGGAGUAGAGCUUGGAAAUCCGCAUGUUAAUCAAACUUUCCAGAUUAUUCUAUGCAAACUACAGUCAGAGAGUGAAAUGUCUGUUGUUUAGGCCAAUAUUCUUUUUUCAGGAGACUGACCGUAACCAAGAGCCAGAGUAGUAUGAAUUGGUCUGAAGCUCCCCAGCUCCUUACCCUGCUGUCCAAGAUGGUGGAGGCGCCAGAGGCAGGGCAAGAAACAACCCAACUCUCUCAAAAUGA